GGACCUAUGGGAGGAGGGAGGGAUCCAUGGGGAGAGGGAGGGAUCCUACAGGGAGAGCGGGGGGUGGGGGCUCCCUAAGGAGGGAUGGGUCCCAUGGGACAGCGCUAUGGGGCGGCUGGAUCCCACAGGAUGCUGGGUUAUGGGGUGGCUGGGUCCCAUAGGAUGUGGGGUUAUGGGAUGGCUGGAUCCCAUAGGGUGUGAGGUUAUGGGAUGGCUGGAUCCCACAGGUCACUGGUUAUGGGAUGGAUGGAUCCCACAGAAUGCUGGUUAUGUGAUGGCUGGAUCCCAUAGGGUGUGAGGUUAUGGGAUGGCUGGAUCCCACAGGACAUGAGGUUAUGGGAUGGAUGGACCCCAAUGGACAUCAAGUUAUGGGAUGGCUGGAUCCCACAGGAUGCAGGUUAUGGGAUGGCUGCACCCCAAUGGACAUCAGGUUAUGGGAUGGAUGGAUCCCUCAGGACAUGAGGUUAUGGGAUGGCCGGACCCCACACAAUAUCAGGUUAUGGGAUGGUUGGAUCCCACAGGACAUCAGGUUAUGGGACGGAUGGACCCACAGGACAUGAGGUUAUGGGAUGGCCGGACGCUAAUGGACAUGAGGUUAUGGGAUGGCCGGACCCUAAUGGACAUGAGGUUAUGGGAUGGCUGGAUCCCACAGGACGCAGGUUAUGGGAUGGCCGGACGCUAAUGGACAUGAGGUUAUGGGAUGGCUGGACCCUAAUGGACAUGAGGUUAUGGGAUGGCUGGACGCUAAUGGACAUGAGGUUAUGGGAUGGCCGGACGCUAAUGGACAUGAGGUUAUGGGAUGGCUGGACCCCACAUAAUAUCAGGUUAUGGGAUGGCCAGACGCUAAUGGACAUGAGGUUAUGGGAUGGCCAGACCCUAAUGGACAUGAGGUUAUGGGAUGGCCGGACCCUAAUGGACAUGAGGUUAUGGGAUGGCUGGAUCCCACAGGACACAGGUUAUGGGAUGGCCGGGCCCUAAUGGACAUGAGGCUAUGGGCUG